rnacentral:tRNA from 1 species
GCCUGGGUGGCUCAGCCGGUUGAACGUCCGACUUCGGCUCAGGUCACGAUCUCACGGUUCGUGGGUUCGAGCCCUGCCUCAGGCU